rnacentral:lncRNA from 1 species
AAACAGGACGCCUUUCCCCUGCGGGCUACAGGGUCUGAAGGAAGCAGCCGUGUGAUGGAGGGAGCACCGUGAUCCCUUCGCUGCAGAUGAGGAAACUGAGGCUCAGAGAGGGUCCGAGAUCUUACAGCUGGUGAGAGGCAGAGCAAGAUGCCAACCUAUGCCUGUUGGAUUCCAAAGUUUAUACUUUAAUCGUUCGUCUAGCAGAUUCUUACAACAAUCCUGGGAGGUGUGUAUUCAGCUGUCCCUUUGCAGAUAAAGAAACUGAUACUCAGCAAAGAGACGAUGUAGUGAC